AAUAAAUACUGGGUCAAAUGGUAAGUAUAUGUUUAACUUGUUAAAGAAACUGCCAAACGUUUUUCUAGAGUGACUAUAUCAUUUGCAAUCUCACCAGCAAG
rnacentral:pre_miRNA from 1 species